rnacentral:rRNA from 1 species
GAUGAACGCUAGCUACAGGCUUAACACAUGCAAGUCGCGGGGCAGCAUGGGGGUUGCUUGCAAUCCCCGAUGGCGACCGGCGCACGGGUGAGUAACGCGUAUCCAACCUGCCCUUCACCACGGGAUAACCCGGCGAAAGUCGGACUAAUACCGUAUGUUGUCCAUUGACGGCAUCCGAUUUGGACGAAAGGUUUGGCGGUGAAGGAUGGGGAUGCGUCCGAUUAGCUGGACGGCGGGGUGACGGCCCACCGUGGCGACGAUCGGUAGGGGUUCUGAGAGGAAGGUCCCCCACACUGGAACUGAGACACGGUCCAGACUCCUACGGGAGGCAGCAGUGAGGAAUAUUGGUCAAUGGGCGUAAACCUGAACCAGCCAAGUAGCGUGCAGGAUGACGGCCCUAUGGGUUGUAAACUGCUUUUAUGCGGGGAUAAAGUGGCCCACGUGUGGGUUUUUGCAGGUACCGCAUGAAUAAGGACCGGCUAAUUCCGUG